rnacentral:rRNA from 1 species
AUUGAACGCUGGCGGCAGGCCUAACACAUGCAAGUCGAACGAGUGGCGGACGGGUGAGUAAUGUCUGGGAAACUGCCUGAUGGAGGGGGAUAACUACUGGAAACGGUAGCUAAUACCGCAUACCAUCAGCUCUGCCCAGAUGGGAUUAGUUAGUUGGUGGGGUAACGACUCACCAAGGCGACGAUCCCUAGCUGGUCUGAGAGGAUGACCAGCGGCACUGGAACUGAGACAGGGUCCAGACUCCUACGGGAGGAAGCAGUGGGGAAUAUUGCACAAUGGGCGAAAGCCGGAUGCAGCAAUGCCGGGUGUAGGAAGAAGGCCUUCGGGUGGUAAGGUACUUUCAGCGGGGAGGCGUUACCCGCAGAAGAAGCACCGGCUAACUCCGUGCCAGCAGCCGCGGUAAUAC